rnacentral:rRNA from 1 species
UACGUAGGUGGCAAGCGUUGUUCGGAAUUAUUGGGCGUAAAGGGUGCGUAGGUGGUGAGGUAAGUCGGAUGUGAAAGCUCGGAGCUCAACUCCGAAAUGGCAUUGGAAACUACCUUGCUCGAGGGUUGGAGGGGGGACUGGAAUACUUGGUGUAGCAGUGAAAUGCGUAGAUAUCAAGUGGAACACCAGUGGCGAAGGCGAGUCCCUGGACAACUCCUGACACUGAGGCACGAAAGCUAGGGGAGCAAACAGG